rnacentral:lncRNA from 1 species
CCCAGAGAAUGAAGAUGUGGAAAUUAUCUAAGAAGCGUUCUGAGGCUGGAUGAGAUUUCUUAGGAUUUCCCUUCUCUACCUCCUCCGGAGGUUGAUCUAAUCACACUCUAACCACAGAAGAAGGCCUCGAGAAGCCAGGACCCAGCUACGAGUUUCUUUUCAAAGAGCUGAUCUCUGGGAAGUGGCCCUACCUGCAAGACACCUAUUUCAGAGCUUCCUUGUGGCUGCUUCUGGGCUGUUUGCACGCUCUGAGCCCCGGGCAGAAGAAUGACAACCAUUAGGAAGCCGAAAGCAUAAAAGGGUUCAAGAUUAGCACCUGCAGUAGGGAGGUGGGUUAGCACACUGUCUUCCCCUGAAAGGGUUAAUCACCCUCUGAGGGCGGUGGGGGGUUGACCUGGGACAACC